rnacentral:rRNA from 1 species
UACGGGAGGCAGCAGUGGGGAAUAUUGCACAAUGGGCGCAAGCCUGAUGCAGCCAUGCCGCGUGUAUGAAAAAGGCCUUCGGGUUGUAAAGUACUUUCAGUCGUGAGGAAGGUGUUAAGGUUAAUAACCUUAGCAAUUGACGUUAGCGACAGAAGAAGCACCGGCUAACUCCGUGCCAGCAGCCGCGGUAAUACGGAGGGUGCGAGCGUUAAUCGGAAUUACUGGGCGUAAAGGGCACGCAGGCGGUUAAUUAAGUUGGAUGUGAAAUCCCCGGGCUUAACCUGGGAAUGGCAUUCAAGACUGGUUAGCUAGAGUCUUGUAGAGGGGGUAGAAUUCCAUGUGUAGCGGUGAAAUGCGUAGAGAUGUGGAGGAAUACCGGUGGCGAAAGGCGGCCCCUGGACAAAGACUGACGCUCAUGUGCGAAAGCGUGGGGAGCAAAC